rnacentral:snRNA from 1 species
AUGCUUGCUUUGGCAGCAUGUAUACUAAAAUUGGAAUAAUACAGAGAAGAUCAGCAUGGCCUCUGUGCAAGGAUGACAUGCAAAUUCGUGAAGUGCUCUGUAUUUUA